GAUGAACGCUGGCGGCGUGCUUAACACAUGCAAGUCGAACGGAAAGGCCGAAGCUUGCUUCGGUGCUCGAGUGGCGAACGGGUGAGUAACACGUGGGUGAUCUGCCCUGUACUUCGGGAUAAGCUUGGGAAACUGGGUCUAAUACCGGAUAUGACGAUCUCUUGGAUGGGGUUGUGGAGAGCUUUUGCGGUAUGGGAUGAGCUCGCGGCCUAUCAGCUUGUUGGUGGGGUGAUGGCCUACCAAGGCGUCGACGGGUAGCCGGCCUGAGAGGGUGUACGGCCACAUUGGGACUGAGAUACGGCCCAGACUCCUACGGGAGGCAGCAGUGGGGAAUAUUGCACAAUGGGCGCAAGCCUGAUGCAGCGACGCGGCGUGGGGGAUGACGGCCUUCGGGUUGUAAACUCCUUUCGCAAUCGACGAAGCCUUUUGGUGACGGUAGGUUGAGAAGAAGCACCGGCUAACUACGUG
rnacentral:rRNA from 1 species